UAAACCCGAAAAAGAAGCAACUAGAGAAGAUAACACCGGGUCUCUACACUGAUGAAAAUGGCGUAGCCACAUACAAAGGCAUACCUUUCAUGACCUCAGCUGGACCUUGCACUUCCAGCAUCCCCAAAGCAACCAUCAAGUAGUGAACUUUAUACUCCUUUCUCUUCUCUUGCCUUUUUCUUUGAUAUCACAAACUCAGUUGGAAAAAAAGAAGAUAUGUUUUGUCACAAUUCGAAUUAAUCUCUAACUUUGUUCUCAUUAACCUGUUUUGACUCUCUUUUUCCUUAUGAGCUUUCUGCUACUGGAUUUAGAUUUUACUUUCUCCUUUCAA